UCCGAAUUGGUGUAGUGGCUAACAUUUGACGCUCUCAAGAUGUAACAAUCAAUGACCCGUCAAGCCCGGGGUUCGAUUCCCCGAUUCGGAG